rnacentral:rRNA from 1 species
UGCGCAGGCGGGAAAUUAAGUCAGUGGUGAAAUCCUGCAGCUUAACUGUAGAAUUGCCAUUGAAACUGAUUUUCUUGAGUGCAGUUGAGGUGGGCGGAAUGUGUAAUGUAGCGGUGAAAUGCUUAGAUAUUACACAGAACACCGAUUGCGUAGGCAGCUCACUAAACUGUUACUGACGCUCAGGCACGAAAGCGUGGGGAGCGAACAGGAUUAGAUACCCUGGUAGUCC